AGCAGUGGGGAAUAUUGGACAAUGGGCGCAAGCCUGAUCCAGCCAUGCCGCGGGAGUGAUGAAGGCCUUAGGGUUGUAAAGCUCUUUCACCGGAGAAGAUAAUGACGGUAUCCGGAGAAGAAGCCCCGGCUAACUUCGUGCCAGCAGCCGCGGUAAUACGAAGGGGGCUAGCGUUGUUCGGAAUUACUGGGCGUAAAGCGCACGUAGGCGGAUAUUUAAGUCAGGGGUGAAAUCCCAGAGCUCAACUCUGGAACUGCCUUUGAUACUGGGUAUCUUGAGUAUGGAAGAGGUAAGUGGAAUUCCGAGUGUAGAGGUGAAAUUCGUAGAUAUUCGGAGGAAAACCAGUGGCAAAGGAGGCUUAAUGGUACAUUACUGAGGCUGAGGGGCGAAAAGC
rnacentral:rRNA from 1 species